GCGGUGGAUGAUGUGAUUAAUUCGAUGCAACGCGAAAACCUUACCUACCCUUGACAUGCCAGGACUUGCCAGAGAUGGCUUGGUGCCCGAAAGGGAGCCUGGACACAGGUGCUGCAUGGCUGUCGUCAGCUCGUGUCGUGAGAUGUUGGGUUAAGUCCCGCAACGAGCGCAACCCUUGUCGUUAAUUGCCAUCAUUUGGUUGGGCACUUUAACGAGACUGCCGGUGACAAACCGGAGGAAGGUGGGGAUGACGUCAAGUCCUCAUGGCCCUUAUGGGUAGGGCUUCACACGUCAUACAAUGGUCGGUACAGAGGGUUGCCAAGCCGUGAGGCGGAGCCAAUCCCAGAAAGCCGAUCGUAGUCCGGAUUGCAGGCUGCAACUCGCCUGCAUGAAGUCGGAAUCGCUAGUAAUCGCGGAUCAGCAUGUCGCGGUGAAUACGUUCCCGGGUCUUGUACACAC
rnacentral:rRNA from 1 species